rnacentral:lncRNA from 1 species
AGAGCUGAUCAAGGGAACCUCAACAAACAACCCCAGCCAUGGAGGCGGCGGUGUCUUUGAAGACCCCAUGAGAGCAUCAAACAAGGGAGAGAGCCUGGAACAAAUCAUGGUAGUAAAAUGGCGGCAGAGAGCUAGUAAUGUGUCUGCAAUUGGUGGGUUCUUGGUCGCACUGACUUCAAGAAUGAAGCCGCGGACCCUCACGGUGAGUGUUACAAUUCUUAAAAGUGGCGUGUCCGGAAUUUGUUCCUUCUGAUGUUCGGAGUUUCUUCCUUCUGGUGGGUUCGUGGUCUCGCUGGCUCAGGAGUGAAGCUGCAGACCUUCGCAGUGAGCGUUACAGCUCUUAAGGUGGUGUUUCUGGAGUUGUUCGUUCCUUCCGGUGGCUUCAUAGUCUCGCUGGCUCAGGAGUGAAGCUGCAGACCUUCGCAGUGAGCGUUACAGCUCUUAAGGUGGUGUUUCUGGAGUUGUUCGUUCCUUCCGGUGGCUUCAUAGUCUCGCUGGCUUCAGGAGUGAAGCUGCAGACCUUCCUGGUGAGUGUUACAGCUCUUAAGGCGGUGCGUCUGGAGUUGUUCGUUUCUCCCGGUGGGUUCGUGGUCUCGCUGGCUUUAAGAGUGAAGCUGCAGACCUUCACGGUGAAUGUUACAGCUCAUAAAGGCAGUGUGGACCUAAAGAGUGAGCAGCAGCAAGAUUUAUUGCAAAGAGAGGAAGAAUAAGGCUUCCACAGUGUGCAAGGGGACCCCAACAGGUUGCCACCGCUGGCUUGGGCAGCCUGCUUUUAUUGUCUUAUCUGGCCCCACUGACAUCCUGCUGAUUGGUCCAUUUUACAGAGAGCCGAGUGGUCUGUUUUGACAGGGUGCUGAUUGGUGCGUUUACAAUCCCUGAGCUAGACACAAAGGUUCUCCACCUCCCCACCAGAGUAGCUAGAUACAGAAUGUUGAUUGGUGCAUUCACGAACCCUGAGCUAGACAGAGGGUGCUGAUUGGUGUGUCUACAAACCUUGAGCUAGAUACAGAGUGCCGAUUGGUGUAUUUACAAUCCCUUAGCUAGACAUAAGGGUUCUCCAAGUCCCCACCAGAGUAGCUAGAUACAGUGUCGAUUGGUGCAUUCACAAACCGUGAGCUAGACAGAGGGUGCUGAUUGGUGUGUUUACAAACCUUGAGCUAGAUACAGAGUGCUGAUUGGUGUAUUUACAAUCCCUUAGCUAGACAUAAACGUUCUCCAAGUCCCCACCACACUCAGGAGCCCAGCUGGCUUCACCCAGUGGAUCAUGCACCCAGGCCACAGGUGGAGCUGCCUGCCAGUCCCACGCUGUGCGCCUGCACUCCUCAGCCCUUGGGUGGUCGAUGGGACUGGGCACCGUAGAGCAGUGGGCGGCGCUCGUCGGAGAGGCUCUGGCCGCGCAGGAGCCCAUGGAGGCCGGUGGGGGAGGCUCAGGCAUGGCGGGCUGCAGGUCCCCAGCCCUGCCCGGCGGGAAGGCAGCUAAGGCCCGGGGAGAAAUUGACCACAGCAGCUGCUGGCCCAGAUGCUAAGCCCCUCACUGCCCGGGGCCGCAGCCGCUCCGAGUGCCGGGCCCGCCAAGCCCACACCCACCCGGAACUGGCACUGGCCCUGGCCCACAAGCACAGUGCGCAGCCCCGGUUCCUGCCCCUGCCUCUCCCUCCUCACCUCCCCGCAAGCUUAGGGAGCCGGCUCCGGCCUUGGCCAGCCCAGAAAGGGGCUCCCACAGUGCAGCGGUGGGCUGAAGGGCUCCUCAAGUGCCGCCAAAGUGGGAGCCCAGGCAGAGGAGGUGCGGAGAGCGAGCCAGGGCUGUGAGGACUGCCAGCACGCUGUCACCUUUCAGUAGGUGGACGACAAGAAAAGAUGUCUCCCGCCCCUCUUUACCUGGCUUCCUGGCUGCAGAAGGCCCCACACAGGUGAAGGGAGAAGCUUCAACUUGAAAUCUGGUUUUAAGAAUUGAUUAUGGGCCAGGAGCUGUGGCUCACCCCUGUAAUCCCAGCACUUUGGGAGGCCGAAGUGGGCGGAUCAAGAGGUCAGGAGAUUGAGACCAUCCUGGCCAACUUGGUGAAACCCUGUCUCUACUAAAAAUACAAACAAUUAGCCGGGCGUGGUGGCAGGCGCCUGUAGUCCCAGCUACUCGGGAGGCUGAGGCAGGAGAAUUGCUUGAACCCGGGACGCGGAGGUUGCAGUGAGCCGAGAUAGCGCCACUGCACUCCAGCCUGGGCGACGGAGCGAGACUUCAUCUAAAAAAAAAAAAAUUGAUUAUGACACAAAACUAGAUAUUCUAACUUCUCAGUUGAGACUGUUGGAGACUUAGAGUGACUAUAGGACUUUUUAUUACUUAAGAGUGAUUAAAACGAGUUGUAAGAUUAUGGAGAUUUUCAUUCUGGAGCAAGAGAAGAACUUUUCCCCUAUUGAGUAAUCUGAAAAGGACAGCGGGAAUCAAAAACAAGGUUGCUUUCUCCUUUGAAUAUAUUGUUUUCUUCUUCAAAUCUAAAAAUCUGUUGAUUUCAUGUUUUCCCUUUUAUUUCUCUAACCCACUGAAAUGUGAUUGCUUCUGGUAUCCCUAAGUUUAUCAAGCAUACUACUAAACCAGCAUUUGGGACAUUAAGAACACUGGACACUCCAACUAACCAGGGGCUGAAUCCUACUGACUGCACUCGCUAUGUUUUGUCCAGGUGGCACGGUGCCUGGGAAGCAACUGCAGGGCUGUUCCUCCAGCAGUUUAUGAACUCAAGAAGUAAAAUGAGAGGAGAACCCAGGGGGCACCAGGCUGCUGCCUCUUGGUUUUGGUUCAAAAAAAAAGAAAAGAAGAACAAUGAUAAAUGUAUUACAGUCAGUAACCGUUUCUGAUUUACACUCAAGGUGGUCUUGCUAUGAUCUCAAAGCGCUCUUCCAGCAAACAGCACUGCUAUUAAAACCUGUUGGUGAUACAAAUUGUUUAAGAAUAAAAAUCGGCUGGGUGUGGUGGCUCACACUUGUAAUCCUAGCACUUUGGGAUGCUGAGGCGGGUGGAUCACCUGAGGUCAGGCGUUCAAGACCAGCCUGGCCAAGAUUGUGAAACACCUUCUCUACUAAAAAUACAAAAAUACAAAAAUUAGCCAGGCAUGGUGACGGGCACCUGUAAUCCCAGCUACUCGGGAGGCUGAGGCAAAGAAUUGCUUGAACCUGGGAGGCGGAGUUUGCAGUGAGCUGAGAUUGCACCACUGCACUCCAGCCUGGGCGACAGAGCAAGACUCUGUCUCAAAAAAAAAAAGAAUAAAAAUUAAAAACACACACAAGAAAACAAAGUAAAACUUGUUGGUGAGUAAACCGAAUGAAAUAUGUUAAAUCUCUGUCCAAUCCUGUCCAAAGUCAGGCAGAGGAGGCCAACUUGAGUACUUAUCACCAUCUCCCAGCACCUUUUGUUGUUUGAUUAGAAUAGAUUCCCUCUGUAAGACAUUAAUGAUUUCCAAGGCUGCUUUAAGAAGUUUCUUUGUUAUACGGGAAGUGAUUGAGAACUGGCAAUCAUGAAUCUGGCUGUCUCUGCUCAGGAGCUUAAAGACUGUUCUGAUGACGAUAAUUACAUUUUUAUGAAUAUCCUGCCUAGAGAGUAACAAUUUUACUAUGUCAAACCGCACCACACAAAGAUGCAUCAAUUUCAUCUGCAAUGAAAAAUAGAGCCUAAUAGUACAGUUAUAUUUAUAUGAUAGUCAAACAUCAAGAUGUAACGUAAGUGCUUCAACUAAAAGAAUUCCGAUCAUUAUUUAACCUUGAGAUGAUUAAGGUGAAAGCUUGUCAGCUUCCAUGAAUUACUUUUUUCAUGAUUUUUGCUGUUUUGGUUUGAUUUUUAAAAAUCCAUAAUUAACAUUUAUUAACAUUUGGAUUCUACUCCAACCUCCAUGAUGUGUGGGCAAGGGAAAAACAACAACAAAAAAGAUCCAUAGAUAUGAUUAAUGGUCAAAGAGAGAGUAUUAGGUAAUUAUAAGUCAUAAUUAUGUUCUUGGUAAAAUACCAUACUAACUGGUUUUCUCCUUUCUCCUUUUCUCUGCUAAGUUUCUUCAACUAUAAUGCAAAUUAUGGACAAUGUAUUUAGGUUAGAUGCUAUACAUACAUAUUAAUUUAAUACAAAGAAAACUGUUUCAUUGUGAUUGUGCACCAGAGCUAUGCCAAGUGUGGUCUGAGAACCAGCAACAUUAAGCAUUACUCAAAAACCUGUUGGAAAUGCAAAUUCUCAGGCGUUACCCCAGAUCUCUUGAAUCCGAAUCUGUAGCAGUGGGCACAGGCCCCCGGGACUCUGUGUUAACAAGCCUUCCAGGAGGUGCGAUGAGGUGUGAGAAUCACUGCUCCAGCAUCUUGUAACUCAUUCUCCCCUGGCUAAAGUGAAACAUAGGUAAGUGUGGAGGCUGCAAUCCCAGCAACGCUGUACGUGUUCCCUGUUAGCUGGAGGAGGGGGCAUGUGUUCCUAGAAAGGGGGCCCAAGCGAACAGCCUGUUUUGGCCACGUCUCUUGAGUCCAGGUUCCUCUCCAUUGGGUUUUCUCUUCUCUUUAAAUCUCCUGAGGUCCCAGUGUGCCCCAGGCCAUAGUUUCUUCCCAUUACCAGUCAUAGUUGUUGUUUAACCUCUGUGGUAGGAGGGGUGUUUAUGAUACUCCUCAUCAUGUGAGGACUUCCACCACUCUGAAGCACCCUGUUGGUGCUUCCCCUCUAUCACUGAGACUUCAUUUCCUUGACAUCAUCUUGAGCUGCUUAAACAUUUUUCUUUUUCCCAGACGGAGUCUUGCUGUUUUGCCCAGGCUGGAGUGCAGUGACAUGAUUUCAGCUCACUGCAACCUCCGCCUCCUGGGUUCAAGGAAUUAUCCUGCCUCAACCUCCCGAGUAGCUGAGAUUACAGGUGCCCGCCACCACACCCGGGUAAUUUUUAUAUUUUUAGUAGAGACAAGGUUUCACCAUGUUGGCCAGGCUGGUCUUGAACUCCUGACCUCGUGAUCUGCCCACCUUGGCCUCCCAAAGUGUGCUUAAACAUUUUUAACAUCCGCCGUGAUACUCUUCUAUUUUUCUUUAUGGCAGAAGUAACACUAUUUACCUUUUGACAGCACAAUGGACCAAAAUUGUUUACCAGAACUCACCAGAAAGUGGCAUGGAGAGGGGCCACACAUUGCCAACACACUGAAAGAAACGCAGUAGAACACACACUCAGUACAGAGUGCUGAUGCUCCCUGGCCGGGACCGCACAGUGCUGUUACCGUAGGAGUUUUCUUUGGCAGAGAGGAUAGGGUAGCACGUAGCAUGAGGGAAAAGUGUCAUCAGAAUUUGGUGACAGAUAGAUAGACAGAUAUAGAGAUAUUUUUUAUUGUGGUAAGAACAUAACAAAACUCACCAUCUUAAAUAUUUGUAAGUGUAUGGUGAAUAGUGUUAAGUAUAUUCACACCGUUGUGAAACAGAUCUCCAAACUUUUUAAUCUUGUAAAACUGACACUCUAUACCUUUUAAACAACUCCCACUUCCCCCCUACCCUUAGCCCCUGGCAACCACCAUUUUACUUUCUGUUUCUAUGAAUUCGAUUACUUUAGAUAGCUCAUAAAAAUGAAAUCAUCCAGGCAGGUGCAGUGGCUCACACCUGUAAUCCUAGCACUUUGGGAGGCCGAGGCAGGAGGAUUGCUUGAGCCCAGGAGUUUGAGACCAGCUGGGCAACACAGUGAGAUCCCCAUCUCUGUUAUUAAAAAAAAAAAAGAAUCACUCAGUAUUUGUCUUUUCUUGAAUGGCUUAUUUCACUUAGCAUAAUGUCCUCAAGGUUUACCUAAUAGAAACAUUUUUGAAGGAACGCAUAUUCGAGACAAUAGCAUUCUAAUGAAUCAGCACACAUGGGACAGUGUUAAAUGAAGUGAAUCAGUAUGACAAAAAGUGAACACCAUCUUGGUGAUUUAAUCUUCGUAUUAUUUCAUAUAUUCUUUUUUGUUUUAAUUUAUGCAGGCUUGGCUGGGUUUGGUGGGUCAUGCCUGUAAUCCCACCACUUUGAGAGGCCAAGGCGGGUGGAUCAUUUGAGGUCAGGAGUUCCAGCCCAGCCUGCCCAACAUGGUGAAACCCUGCUUCUACUAAAAAUACAAAAAUUAGCCAGGUGUGGUGGCAUGUACCUGUAAUCUCAGCUACUCAGGAGGAUGAGGCAGGAGAAUUGCUUGAACCCAGCAGGCGGAGGUUGCAGUGAUCCCAGAUUGCAUCACUGCACUCCAGCCUGGGCGACACAGAGAGACUUUGUCUCAAAAAUAAAUAAAUAAAUAAAAAUAAAAAUGAAAUGGAUGCAGGCUCCAUCGUCUAUGGAGAUGGACUCAUCCACAUUAUUUCAUAUAUGCUAUAUAUUUUAAUACUUUUUUUGUUUUAUUUUUUAGUCCAGGUUCCAGGCUUAUGAAUACAUUGUUUUAGAGGCCCAGUGCAAGGGCAAAAUCUUUAGAGUGGUGCUUCUGAAAUCUGAGUGUGAAUCAGAAUGACCUUGAAAUUUGUUAAAAAUACAAAUUCCCUGGGUUCCAAGAGAUUCUAAUUUUGGUAGGUCUGAGGUGGAGCCCAGGAAUCAGCAUUUAACAAGCACUCCAGGUGAUUCUUUCCUUCUGAGAGACACUGCAAGUCUAAAUCAGCAGGGUAGAGCAGUGCCUUUGAGGGUGAAGCAGUGAGGCUCAACCCCUUUCACAGGUGUUGUACCUUCUUUGGAUCCUCCUGAUGCAUUGUAUCUGGACUUUGAAUAACAAUUAAUGUACUCUGCCUAGUUCUAGAGUUUCUCAUGUCCUUGCCUCAGCCCCGCCCAAAGACCACAGGCUUCCUGAGACACAGGCAUUUUGCAGUAUUGACCUGCAUAUCCUCAGCUGGGUUUACCUCACGCCGUCUCUGUUGUGAGAAGAUGCGCGAUAAUAUUUGUCAAAUGAAUGAAGACAAUAAGGACAGAAAUCCAAUGAAAAGAAUGUGACUGAAAGAGUCAGAGAGGAAUUUAGUCUUGGCCUGUGAGCCCAACAGCUGUGAGGCCUUAAGUUACUUCCUCUCUCAGGCCUUAGCCCUGUACCUGUGACAUGGGGAUCAGUUUCUUCCUCCUUCCUCUUUCUGAGGGCUGCUGUGGGGUACAAAUGACAUAAGGUAUGUAAAAAUGCCUGAAAACUGUGGAGCCACUCUUUUCAAUUUUGUUGAAUAUGAUUGUCUUUUUGCUUUACUGAGUGUUAGGUAGUAUGAUGAGGCAAAGAACACAAGGUUUACUUCUGGCUAUUACCGAAAAGCGAAUCCUAUUAUUUGGUAUUUAAAAGAGCCACAUGGCUUUUCCAACUCCAAGGAGAGUGACAAAGAAAUUUAGUACUAUAAAUUUAUGAUAGGAAUGGUAGAAAUAUCCUAUAAAUAAUGAACAGUACAAAGGAAGGGAGAUUCAUAGGAAAGCAAAUUAACUAGGCACACUGCAGUUUGAUUCUGACAUGGGGAUUUCCCGUAACCUGUAACUGCUUAAUGAAAUGACUUCUGGCUUCUCUGAGAUCACCUUAAAAGGUAGCAGGUAUCUGAUAAGAUGAGCUGAAAAGCAAAUUUAUAUAAUAUCCUUUUUAAAACUUCAAGGCAGGGAUUAUAACCACCCCCUAAACUGCAAAGAACCAAAAGAAGUUGGAUCACAUCCAAGAAGCAAUGUGUCCCAGGUGGUAAACGCAGAGCCAGUCCACAGUCCAAUGAGGAAAGUGAGGACAACGGAGCAAGUUUUCCAGGAAGCUAUGUUUAUUCAGUUGAGCCAACUGCCUCAUUCUCAAAUGAGGUCUUCCAUUGUCUUGGCUCACUAAGGUUCUUACUUAUAGGAAAUAUCGGUAUUUUUUUAAACUGACAAAUGAAAAGUUGACAAUGAUAUUACUCCCCAUUCAAAUUUGAUCAGGCAGCUUUGAGUUUGAAUUCUCAAUCCACUUAAGGCAAGUGGCUUGAGGCAAAUUUCUAAUCCACUCAGGCUUUGAUUUCUCUAUGUAUAAUGAUACAAAGAUUGGCAAUAAUAUUUGUAAAAAGCCUAGCUCAAAUUGUAGUAUUGGUGGUGGUUAUAUGAAAAAGAAUGUGUUGUCAUUUAGAUACAUAAAUUAGGCAGUGUCUUCUUUUUAAAAUUUUUUUUAUUGUUUUAAGAGAUGGGGUCUCUGGCACCCAAGCUGGAGUGCAGUGGAAGGAUCAUAGCUCAUUGCAACCUCAAACUCCUGGGCUCAAGUGAUCCUCCUGCCUCAGCCUCCUGAGUAGCUAGGAGUAUAGGCACAUGCCACCAUGCCCGGCUAAUUUUUAAAAUUUAUUUGAGACAGGGUCUGGCUAUGUUGUCGAGGCUGGUCUUGAAUUCCAGGGCUCAAACAAUCCUCCCACCUCAGCCUCCCAAAGUCUUGGGAAUACAGGUGUGAGCCACUGUGCCUGGCCAUGGUAGCUUGUCUUGAUGGUAUAAAAUUACUGUUUUCAUUACUGUGUUAGAUGUUUUUUCAUUUUCCCAUGGUGGCCUCCUUUGGGACUGUCCAUGCUUUUGCUCCAAGAGUAAAUCUCAAAGGAGCAAGCAUGAGUAGGAAUUUUCCUUGCAUGCACACAGCCAGCCAAACAGCCCUAUGUCCGUGAUGAGGUGCAUUCCAGAACCAGUGGUAGGAUGGGGUUGGGUUGUACCUACUAGCUGAAGUUUUUAUUAGAUGUAGAAUUUAAACUCACACUUGGUUCUGGGUCUAGUAUUUAAAAACUUCCUAUUGUAUUAUGUAUAUCUUUGUAUUCCUAGUGCUUAAUAAAUUAUAGUUCCUCAACUACUGUUUGUUGAUGAUUUGAAUAAUGUACAAAUAAAUAUCAGGGAGUACAACAGCUCCAUUAAAUCAUGUGGGUUUUUCCAAUUAUUUGCUGCUAUUUGUUUCUGGAACUGAUCUGAAAUAGAUAGCAUUUUGAUGUGUGACCUUUAACUUACCAAGGCAGACAGAAAACAGGAAAAGGGUGGGAGUCCCUAUGACUAAAACGUUUAUGUUAAGUCCAUGAUGGAUAUUCCAGGUGUUCUGGUAGGCAUCUUCCUGGCCAAAAUUUAAGCUGAAUUUGAGCGCAACGUCUAAUAACGGCUGGACUUGUUUUCCAGGGACCUCAAAGGUAUUUUCUUAGAUAGGUCAUGUUCUGGGGCUUUUGACUCUAAUGCAAUGUGGGCAAUGCAAUGACCAUGUUAUUUUAGAGACAUUUACAGGUCACUCAGGGAGUAUGAAGGAGGCAAACACUUUGGCUCUCUUAUAUCUGUCACUCACAGGAAGCUGGUGGCUUAAAGUUUUUAAGACAUUUGUUUUGGUUGAGUUCUCCACCAGAAGUUGAGCAAGGCAGAAUUGCAAGGGCAGGUCCAGGUUUUGUGAUGUCUGAAGCUUUAGACAAUAUAAGUUGUCCUAUUUAAGAAAGAUAAUAUAAAAUCAUAAAUAAAAAACUAGAUAUGAAAAUGAGUAUGUAACUUGAAGCCCCAGCUAGGCACAGUGUCUCACACCUGUAAUCCUUGCACAUUAGGAGGCUGAGGUGGGAGCCUUGCUCGAGGCCAGGAAUUUGAGACUAGCCUGGGCAAUAUGGCGAGACCACCCCUCUUUACAAAAAAAAAAUUAAAAAUUAGCCAGGCAUGGUUGCGCACCUGUAGUCAGUCCCAGUGACUCAGGAGGCUGAGGCAGGAGGAUUGCUUGAACUCAGGAAUCUGAGGCUGCAGUGAGCUAUGAUAAUGCCACUGCACUCCAGCCUGGGUGACAGAAUGAGACCCUUUAAAAUAAAAAUAAUAAUAAAUAGUUAGAAGCCAACCCCCCCCCCCCCGCCUUGCAACUGGGGGAUCCUACAGCUUGAGCUUAAUUAGCUUCUUAUAAAUGCACCUGUGUAAUAAUGGAAGCAACAUUUUAAGACAAAGGUACUUGUGCUAUAACGUUGAUGAGUGGGACAUUUCUAAACAUUUACCAGUAUGAGAAACACGUACAUGCUAAAUGUAACUCGACAUAGACAUUAAAUGCCAAGUGUUCAGGCUGCAGGGAAGUGAGACUGGGGGAAGACAAAGGAGAAGGGAACUGGUGACUAUUAGGUACCCAGGGAGCCUUCAGUUAGUUGGAAUGUUUAGAAAACUGGGAAUCCUUGAAUUUACCUUCCAAAUUAAUCAAAACCCAAAAGAUAUAACUUAUUGGUCAUCAAAAAUCUUUCCAAAUACUGUUUUUUUCAAGGUUCCUGUAGGUUUAACAAUUUUUAAAAAGCGAGUGUAAUUUACCAUGACAUUGAGAUUAGAAAGAAAGCAAAUAAAUUACUUAAGGGGGUAAGAACCUAUAAAAUAUGUGUCUUCUCCACUAGUAGCAAGCCCUCUAUGGCUUGGGUGACUGAAGUUGCCCCCAUGCCUGUUUGGAAUGGGUGCUGGCCUCCUUACCUGCCACUCAGAGAUCACUUGACCACUACAGUCACGGUGGGGAUACCAGUUAAUAGGUCAUUUGUGGUGAAGCUGGUAAACAGUAAGUGCUCAAUAAAAACUUAUUAAAUGAAUGAAUCAAAUAAAUAAUUCCACUUUGAACAAACGAGGCCAGACUUAAAGCAAUUUUUAUUCCUAAAGAUUCUGCAACUGAAUUUUGUCAAGACUUCUUUAUUUAUUUAUUUAUUUAUUAUUAUUAUACUUUAAGUUUUAGGGUACAUGUGCACAAUGUGCAGGUUAGUUACAUAUGUAUACAUGUGCCAUGCUGGUGUGCUGCACCCACUAACUCGUCAUCUAGCAUUAGGUAUAUCUAAAAAUAUGGAACGCUUCACGAAUUUGCGUGUCAUCCUUGCGCAGGGGCCAUGCUAAUCUUCUCUGUAUCGUUCCAAUUUUAGUAUAUGUGCUGCCGAAGCGAGCACUUGUCAAGACUUCUUUGCGUUUGAGAAUUCUGUCAUGAAUAUGGCCUAGGUUUGAUGGCAAAAUGAUUAAGAAAUGAAAUGGAGUUAAUUUUCAUUGAGUGCCUAACAUAUGCCAGGUAUCUUGCUUGAGUUUUGCAUAUUUACUUAUUUAUUUUAAAAUUUAUUUUUUUUCAAUAAACCACCUACAAAGCUUCUGGAUGUGUAUUAUUUAAGCUUUGUAACCAUUUUGCACUUGAGGAAGCUAGAACUCAGACUUAAAUAAUUUGUCUAUGGCCUCACAGGGAGCAAGUGGCAGAGCCAGAAUCCAAACGCAGAUUUGUGAGUGCACGGCUUUUGCUGUGACGCUGUAACCUCUCAUUUGGCCUGUUCUUUCCAGCCAAUGUGAAAGACACAUAAAACAGUGAUAGAGAGAGGGGCAGGAAAGACUAUGAAGAUGGGACAGUACAGUGAGAAGUCACAUCAUUUAGGGCCUUAAAUUGCCCAUCUGUAAGCCCAGACGUUUGGACUGGAUGACCUCUGAGUGGGGUGACCACACGGCCCCAUUUUCCAAGGCAACCCAGACUUAUACCUGCUUUGCCACUGCAACUAUUAGCACCCCUUCCACUCUCAAAAAUGUUCCAUUGUGGAUCAUAAAUUCUAAGGUUGCCCCAUCUGCGAAGUUCUGGCUCUUAAUUUCUGUUAUUUCAUACUGAACCUAAUAAUACUUCUCUGAUGACUGAAGCACGGUAAAAUUUCAUUUUCCAGGCCUGGAGGUACAGGGAGGAUGGUAGGUGAGGUGACCCUUAUGUAGAAGUUGCUUUGCAUUUCUGAUAUGGAUAUUUUUUCAAUCUAGGAGCUAGUGCUCCUUUCCUUUAAAAGUACACUAGUAGAUCCCCUUCUAGUGGAUUUGGCUCCAGUUAAUUUGGGAUCAUUAUAUAAAUAUUUGUUUCCUACUUCACACUAAUAGUGGCUACUCCUUAUUGAGUGCUUACACUAAGGCUAAAUGCUGAGUGCAUUAUCUCAUUUAAUGCAUAUAUUAAUGCUAUAAGAUAGUUCCUCACCUUAUAGAUAAGGAAACAGGUUUAGUGAAGUGACUUGCAAGUAAGACACGGAGCCAGGUCUUCCUAAGCUCUUAGCCAUUCUUCUAUAUUGAGAUCUGUAUGUAUACAUACAGCAGAUAAUUAAGAAAGUUAUCAGACUCCUAAAUUCCCAUUGGCCUUUCCUGUAUUUAUCAGUAUCCAUGCCAGUCUUUGUAAUUUCAUCUUCCAUUGCUUCAGCCAUCCAUCUUUACCUCCUAGUACAAACAUCUGCCUCAAGUAAACAGAUUUUGACUAAGAUGCAGAUUCUCGGAAAAAACGAAGAUGGGAUUAGCAAGUAGGUACAAUGAAUAUUUACUUACUUAUACAAACCUUUUUUUGUUUGUCUUUCUUUUCCACAGUUUAAAACCGAAAACAGACACUUGUUUUUUUGUUUAUAUUUACAUAAACAAUACUUAAAAGAAAAACCACCAGUUGACACCAUAUCAUUCUGCUUUUCUUUAUUGUCUGGCUAACUUACAAAGAUGCAGAUGUCUAGGGUAGUCUCUACCCUACCACUUACACUAUCCUGAUGACACAGAUAGCAAAAUGUGUCUGUUUACAUAGUGCAUGGUAUGAAAAAAAAGUUUUUCUUCCUCUACGGUCCUUGACUAUAAGGAGGGAAAAAUUAAUUUCAUGCCAACAUUUUUGGGGAACUUUAACAAUCAUCCCAUUUCUGCUACUAAAAUAACAAAACUGGUAUUACACUUUAAAAUAUAAAGACCUAACAGUUUUUACAAAUAUGCAAAUAAUCUACUACUUAGACAUAAAAAAAAGUUGAUUUCUUUUAAAUCACAAAGUAAGGCACCAUUGGAUUAAACAUUUCUCCUGGCUUUUACUAAAUAAAAUGCAUAGUGAAAUAAAUACUGAACACUGAGUUUUAAUACUGUAAUACAUUUCAAUAUAAAAUAAGAGGUGAAUGUUAAAAUACUGUAUUACAUGUUGAAUACAUUUAUCUGAAAAUGUUAUAAAAAAACACACAUGUAAGCUCUGAUUUCAGGGAAGAAAAAUUCAUUUUUGUAAUUUUCCAUAGUUUAAGAUUUUACCACAGAACUUAUUCAUAGUUUUAGAUGCAAUUAGGUUGCAAACUUUCAAAGAAAGGGUGUAGGUGUAUUAAUGAAACAGUCACUUAAACACUACAUUCUAAAACAAUCUAUUCUGGAUGAAUGGCAACUUUGAGCUAUCACCCUGUUUCAGAUUUAGAACGGUACCUGCCAAGUUCAGAUAUGCAAAGGAAUUGUCCAAUUCUUACUACCCCUUAUAAAAUUCAGACCCACUUUCUCUGAGUCAGACUUUUCUCCGUCAUAUUUUCUAGGAAGGGCAAAUUCCAUCUUUUGUGAAAUGGGUCAUUAGGCUUUAUCAUAGGGAUGUUUUUCACUGUUGAAAUCAGAUAAAAGAAUCCCAAAUAAAUGAUGCUGCUAAAUUACCAAACUGCUAGAGAUUAAAAAAAUUUUUUUUUAAAAAGCCAACACUUUGCCAAGCUUGUUAUACCUUAUUAUUUCUUGAUUCUCUUUGAGUAAAAAGCCCAAAUGACUGUAUGGAAGAGAGAUGAAUGGUAGAGGAGAGAGGAAACACAGGUUCUCUAAUGUACUAAAUCAGGACUUUGGCAAGGAAGUUAUAGAAAUAUAAUAUAUUCAAAUCAGUAACUUCAUAAUUUAUUAGACAUCCCAUUUAUUAGAACUCUAAGUUCUUUUGCUUUUAUAUAAAUGAAACAUUUAUUCUAUAAAUAGAAAUGUAUUUUUCAGAAUUUUCUUUGGGUUGGUUUCUUGGUAGCAUCUCCCAGUAAUACAUGAAUAACAUACUGAAACCAUGAUACAAUGUUUAGGUAGAUAUACAUAUACAUAUGUGGUCAUGUGUUUUUAAAAAACAAGUAAUGGUAAUUUUAAACAAAACCAUGUAAAAUAUCUAAGUGGAAAUAUUUUUUCCCAACUCUAUAGCUAGAUUUAAAAGUCCCAGUAAAAUUUUGUAAACAAAAUCAUAUAAGAAAAGGCAAGGCUGGCUCUUCCCUAUGGUCCUUUAGUGGAGCUAUAUUUGCAUAGAUCCUAGACAAAUGAUGCAAAACAAAUUCCCUCCAAUUUCCACUAGCAAUCUCCCUAAUUCGCUCAACCCUUACAUAAGCAUCAGAUUUAGAUUUUUAGAGUUUUGCCCACCAACUCAAAUCGGUUCCCUUCUUCUUCCAUGUUUCUGAUUUGAUAUAUUUUCCUGACUUUUUUCCCCUCCUACCAAGCCUUCCUAGUCUCUCCCAGCCUCAGGAGCUUGCUCAGCCAGAAAGGAACAAAGGCUGCUUCCAUUUCACAAGGCAGAAGUCCAGCUGACAAGUGGAGUGCGUGAGCCAGCUGGUUCUGAGCCCAGAAGUCCCGACAGGCUUUCCAUUUGUUUCCAAUGGCUUUAUUCCACAUGACUUUAGUAAACCGUACUCAAUCAAUUUCUGACCUUGGUACUUUGAAGCAACACUUGUAUACAGAUAUUAAGGGAAGAGGGAAGUUAAGGGAGGAAAAUCGAAGGUCAAACUGUGUGUCAAACAAGGUGCUGGGUCCUAAUUUUAUUUUUAGUUGCCUCUUGAAUCGCUCAAGCCCAUCUUGCCUUUUUUGUUUUUUAAACAAGAGGUUUCUGCACUAGCUUCCAUCUUCCAGACUCGUGCUGUCUAAUCCAGUAGCCACCAGCCACAUGUGGCUACUGAGCACUUAAAAAUGUGACUAGUCUGAAUGGAGAUGUGCGGUAAGUGUAAAAUACACUCUGGAUUUUGAAGAUUCAGUACCAAAAAAUAAUAUAAAAUAUCUCAUUAAAAUUUUAUGUUGAUUACAGGUUGAAAUAUUUUGGAUGCAUAUUAACUUCACUUGUUUAAAAUAUAUUAGAAAUGUAAAAAUUGUAUAUGGGGCUCACAUUAUAUUUCUAUUGGACAGCUCUGUCCUAGAGCCAAGCUCGGACUGCCAAAGAUUGGACAUCCUGUGACUGCAAGUUUCCAGUGAGCCCUUACUCAGCAGCUUGCUUAGGUGGUCUGUGGUUCAUAGAAACAGAGAGGAGGCCAAGCAUGCGAAAAAGGAACGGGAGAAAACAGCUCUCAGGGACUUUAAUAAUUACAGUCUGUAACAAAUAAGCAGUGAAUGUUUGAAUUUGGUUGGUGGAAAGCUGGGAUGCAAGUCAUCUCUGCCUAUUACGACAAAAGCCUAUCGACCCCAGCAGCCAGCACAGGCAGGCUGCAGCUGAAGCAAGCAAUAGCCUGGAGAAUAAACACAAUAUGAAAAGCUAGGUGCAUUUCUUACCGAUUCCCACCCACACACGCAUAUUCCCACUCCCCCUCCCACCUUUCCUCCUGCCCAUACAUGAGGCACAAGGGAAGAAGCAGGGAGGAGGGUAUGCAGUUCUUAGAUAGCAACAGAAGCAGCUCUUGAGCUUGGGUAGAGAAGAGCAGGCAAAGAUCACCUCGGGAUGGGAGGGAGUGGUGGAGCACCCCUUUCUCUUCGGUUGGAUCCACCUUGGUGAAAAAACAGACAAAAUAUAAUUUUGGUUAGAAAGCUGAUGUUCUCAUCGUGGAAACUCGGGGAUGGUUGCACGGGUACCCACUACCUCAUCCCUAUGACCAGGGCUGUCAGCUAACUGGCGUAUGUUGUGGAUGAGAAGUGAGAGGUGAAAACAAGCAAGUAAUGUUCUGAAUAAACAUCAUGGUGGGUGAUCCAUCACUGGCUCCCAAGUACUUGCACAAAGUUAAAAAAAAUCAUUUUCUUCUUAUCACAGUGUGUGCUUAUUAUAGAUUUAGAAAAUAUGGAUGAGUAAAAACAAAGAACUCACCCAUUCCUCCAGCACCCAGAGAUAACCAAUUAUGUGUAUAUUUUUUACUUAGAAACAGUUCCCCGUUUUCUUCCAGAAAUAAGAUCAUAUAGUCAGUUUGAACAUCUUUCGAAGGCAUUACUCUUUGCAAAGAUUAUUAAUGACAGUCUGCAUUCCAAAAUAUGACUACACUACAGUCUACCUAGUCAAUUCCCUUUUGUUGGGCAUUUAGGUAUCUUCUAAUUAAAAAUUAGAAAGCUUUUCUGACAGUAGCCAUUCUAAUGGGUGUAAAGUUGUAUCUCACUAUAGUUUUAUUUGCAGUUUCAUAAAAGUUAGUGAUGUUGAACACCUUUUCAAGUACUCUGUCGAUGUGUUCUUUUAAAAGUUAUUCACGGCCCAGUUGCAGUGGCUCACGCCUGUAACCCCAGCACUUUGAGAGGUUGAGGAGGGAUGAUGGCUUGAGCUCAGGAGUUUGAGACCAGUCUGGGCAACAUAGCAAAACCCUGUCUCCACAAAAAUUAGCCGGGCAUGUUGGUGUGCGCCUGUCCCAUAGUCCCAGCUACCUGGGAGGCUGUGGUGGGAGGAUCACCUGAACCUGAGAGGUCGAGGCUGCAAUGAGCCAAGAUUGCGCCACUGCACUCCAGCCUGGGUGACAGAGUGAGACCCUGUCUCAAAAACAAAAUAAAAACCAAAACCAAGCUAUUCAUGGGCUAUCAGUCCACUGUAACUAGGCUUAAAACCCAUUCACAUAAAAAAAAUUCAUUUACUACACAAACAUUUGUUGAGGAUUUAACAGGUGUUUGGCAUGAGGUCAGGUGCUCAGAUGUUGUGAACAGGUCUAACUGGGGCAUGUGUCAAUCAGGUAGGUCUGCUCUAACCACUGCUCUGAGACUCAGUGGGCUGGAACUGGCAGAUUCCUCAAGUAGGCAUCUUGAUAGGGACCCUACUGGUCCACUUAGGGAUUUCUGAGAAAGAACCAAAUUUCUGAGCAAGGAAGGGAGUUAGGAGAAAACACUGAAAGAAGCACCUCUUCCUCUCACCAUCCCAACCAAAUAUUUUCUUGGGCAGGCAUCUGAGAAAAGACUCAUCUGGAUGUAAACCAGACACCUAUCAUGGGGCCUUGACCAUCAACUGACCCGCCACAAGUGGUUAGUAGAAUGAGGGCUGGCCUUGUCCAAAGCUGUAAUUAGAGGGCACUCCAAGUGCAUUCGGUACUGCUCAGGGCUGUCUGGGUGCGCUCUCAGGCUGUGGGCUUGGAGGCUGAGGCUGCUGCAGAGCAGAGGAAAACUUGGUACUCGACGGUGCCUUAUUUAUUUUUGUUAGAUGAUCCAUUAUCAUUAUAAAAUAUUAAACAUGCCUAAUGCUGGAAAUAUUUAAGGCAAAUCUACAAAAAAAUUUUGGUAGACUGUGGAAAUUAAUUCACCAAUUUAAAAACUACUUUUAGGCGAGGCAUGGUAGCUCAUGCCUAUAAUCCAGUGCUUUGGGAGGUUAAGGCAGGGGACUACUUGAGGCCAGAAGCUCAAGACCAGCCUGGGUGACAUAGAGAUAUCCUGUCUCUAUAAGAAAAUUUUUAAAAAGAAAUACUUGAAAAUGCCCUUUAUGUUUCAGGCUCUGUGCCCCUCAAGGAAGGUGCAAUAGUGAGCAGGACACAGUUCUAGUCCUUACAUUGCCUACUCAAGUCUUAAAGGAGGAUGGGAGAAGAUAUAUGCUUAGCUAUUCCAUUAAAGAUCUAGAGGGUACAGGGAAGAUGGUCUAUUACCAAUUUAAAAAUAGAAAUAAUAUUUAGAAUAAGAAGCAAAUAAUAAGUUAGGAAAAAUAUUUGGAGUCUAUAUGAACAACUCCUUAAAGUCAAUUCAUUUAUUGGUGCCCAAGAAGGAAGAAGGGCUGUACUCUUAUCAAACAGAAGCCCUUCUUCUGGUGCACACACACACACACACACACACACACACACACACACCAUUCAAAGAUAUCUGUCCCAUGUGAAAACUUACUUUUCACUAACACUUUUUUUUUUUUUUUGAGAUGGAGUUUCGCUCUCGUUGCCCAGGCUCAAGUGCAAUGGCGACUUCUGCUCACCGCAACCUCCACCUCCUGAGUUCAAGCAAUUCUCCUGCCUCAGCCUCCUGAGUAGCUGGGAUUACACGCAUGCGCCCCUAUGCCCGGCUAAUUUUGUAUUUUUAGUAGAGACAGGUUUUCUCCAUGUUGGUCAGGCUAGUCUCGAACUCCUGACCUCAGGUGAUCUGCCCACCUCAGCCUCCCAAAGUGCUGGGAUUACAGGCGUGAGCCACCGUGCCUGGCCUUCACUAAAAAUUUCAAUCAUCAACUCUUGUAUAAUAAUUUUAUUAUAGCUAUACUUCUUCAUUAGGUAUUGUCUAUGAAUGCAGUCUUCCACAGAAACAAAUCUUUUCAGGAAUUAAAGUUUUCCUUUUAAGCAGUAGUAUUCUGUUUUCUUCUAGCAUUUGUCCAUGGAAAUUUUCCUAUAUUUUCUAACUCUUUAAAUUUUUCUACAGAGGCACAAAGCACAGUUUGACUCAAUUAAUUUAAUUCCAUUUAACCCAAUAGAAAUUCAACCCAACAGAAACAUCUGGUGUUGUCCUGCGCUGUGACACACAGCACAGCCAUGUUCCUGUCUCCUCCUCUGACCUGGGACUGCCAUCUGUCACUUCUCUCCCAUGUCAGUGAUUUUGCUUCUCACCAGUCUUAACUUUAGCUGUUAUUAAUCUCCUAUAAGGUUUGGAACCAACCAACCAAAAAUUACUUUAAACUGUGUUAGGAAAGAAUCAGUAGGCUUUGAGUACAUGUAAGGUGCUCUGUUAGGGAGUGGGGCCAUCGCUAGGGGUGUUGUGACAUAUUUGACUUGUUUGCUUAAGUUUUCUCUAUUUCUGGUUUGGGAAUUUGGCUCUGAGGCUAAGGCUGCCACGAACCUCAGCCUCAUGGAUGACAUAUGCAUAUUUCAUGCUAAUUCUUUCUUCGUUGUAUACAUUUUUUUUUAUUUUUAUUUUUUUUGAGAUGAAGUCUCGCUCUGUCGCCCAGGCUGGAGUGCAAUGGCGCAAUCUCAGCUCAGUGCAACCUCUGCAUCCCGGGUUCUAGUGAUUCUCCUGCCUCAGCCUCCUGAGUAGCUGGGAUUACAGGCACACACCACCAUGCCCAGCUAAUUUUUGUAUUUUUAUAUUUUUAGUAGAGAUGGGGUUUCACCAUGUUGGUCAGGCUGGUCUCGAACUCCUGACCUCGUGAUCCGCCCACCUCAGCCUCCCAAAGUGCUGGGAUUACAGGCGUGAGCCACCAUGCCCAGCUAUUGUGUUUUUUUAAAAGUAAAUUUCAGAGGCUUUCCAGCAAAACCCUGGAAAGCCUGCUAGACAAAUUCUCAAAGAGCUGUAACACUUCCUAUACAUUUACUGUUAUAAAAUUCCAGUUUGUCUAUUUUUCCUUUCUUGUUGACAUUCUUCUUCAAUGGAGGAAAAGCAAUUUAGUUCUUUAUGGUAGCAUUACCUACAUUAGCAGAACAACAGAAAUAAUUUAAAUGUCCAUGGUAAUGGUAAAUUACUAUAUGCUGAAAUAAAAACCAUGUGAUAACAUGGGCACUAUUUACUAAGCAAUGUUAUGUAAACCCCGCCAAAAAACUGUACAUCGUCAUUAUAACUACAUAAAAAAACAGAAUUAUAUGGAUAAAAAAUUGGAUGAGAAUCUGGUAAAAUGAAAAUAUCUAUUAUGUGGAGAGAUUAUGGAUAUAUUUACAUUUUCAUGUAAUGCUCUGUAAAGCUAUGAUUACAAUACGUUUAAAAGAUCAAGGCAGUUAAAGGGAGUUUUUGUUAUAAUUAAUCAGACAUUAUGCCAAUUUCAAAACUAGAAGGAAUAGAAGAUGGCUCUACUUGUGCUGUCUCAGGAAGAUGAAAACAGAGGAAGACGUCCAAAGAAGUAAAAUAAUAAAAUUUAAUACUAGCAAACCACGGUAUUUUGAGCUUGUAAUGACACAUUAAAAUAACUGUUUCUCAUAUGCAUUCUGGGCAUCUGCAAUUUCCUCACUGCCUGUGGAAGGGGAAUUUACUAGAAUGUAGAUGGCUCCAAAGGGUUCUCUACCCCACUCCAGGCAAGAAGCCUGGACUUUCUAUAUAGCCCGAGUGUCACUCAGGCUACUCAAGCGUGAAUCUUCAAAAACCUUGGCAGAAAUACUCACUCCGGCUUUCGUUUCUUGCCAGUUUGCUGGGAUAACUUUUGGUCGUUUGUACAUAUGGCUCUGGAGGUGGCAAAUCGGAAAUCGGAUGGAAGUAGAAUCUGCUUUCCCACUCAUCUGGGAAGAGAAACAAGCAGUAUCUUCAGUGACAGACAAUGUGCUAUGAAGACUUACGUAACGAAAGGCACAGAAUGAAAGAGAGAGAGAACCACAGACAUCAGUGCUAGUUUUUAUGCCUAGAAGUUUACAGAAAAGCUGGAAGUGCUACAAAGGUCACGAAUUAGUACACUGACAUAUAUACAGGCCUGCAAAUCAAAGCAAAGUGGUUUUAGUGAGAGUGAUUAGGAUCCAGCCAGUCCCUCUUAGGAGCUGGGGGCUAAGGUAUGGGACACCUUUUUCCCCAUUGAUAACAAUGGCAGAGAUAGGCAACUUAGUAUCUGCAGGCCGUCAGGCCUCUUACCUACAGUGAACUGUUUAGAAAUGUACAUAAUAAGAAGCUAUAAAAAGAUUCUUUUCAGAAUCCUGGAAUCUCUGGAAAGUUAACUAAAAUGAGACCCAAACAAAGAACAGAUCAGGGAAAAAUGAUCCGCCUUUUUGGGAAGUGGGGAAGGGGGAUUACUAUUUUUAAUUUGAAAUCAUGGUGGGCCUUAGAAUGGUUAGAUAGUUAGAUCAGUGCAAUGGAGUGUGAUAAUGAUGGAACAAGAAAUUAAACGCAAACAAGCAAACCACAUAUACAAACAGAUUUACCAUUUAGUUGCUGCCCUAUAGCCCAGGGAGCUGGGACCACACCUCACCUUCACAUGGAGAGUCUUGGAAGCCAUUUCUAAUAGAUGUUGAUGGUGGAGGUGGGGGAGGUGCCCCAGCACUGGGCCUAUCAGGAGGAAGGGGAGGCCUGGGUCCACUCCUGGGACUGUCUACUCCACUCCUGGAUGGCAACUGAGGGGUAGCAGGCAGGGCCCGAGAUGUGCUGCCGUUUCUGCUUACUGGAGGAGGUGGUGGGAGGGGGCCUGGAGCAAAAAAAGACACUUAGUGCAGAACCUUACAUCCACAUUCCAUUACCGUGGUCACCAUUGGUGUACAGCUGAUGAGGACUUGCUGGACACAUGCCCUUUAAUUAGGGUGAUUUUCUAGGAUAUUUGGCUGAGAAAUGAGUAAACACACAGAAACACAAAAAUUGCACAUGUGUACACAUGUAUAUGCAAAACAAGUGCAUACUGAUAGCUAAAUGGGUGUUUUGGCUUUGAAUUAGCACUCAGAUUGGAGAUGGCACAGUGAAAUUGAAAACAGGUGAAAAUCUGUUUACACGGACAACCGUAUAUUUAAAAAAACAUUUUAUAAUCCUUUAAAGAGCUAUUGAACUAAUUACUGUGACAUGAUGAAAGAAUUUUUUUAAAAAGAAUAAGAUAGUUAUGAAAUUAUUUUAGGUCUUCAGAAGAACAAAGUUCUUUAAAUGCAUAGUUUUGUUGUUAAUUACAGAAGCAUGUUUCUGUGAUGUAUAUGAUCUGUUUCCAGGCAGAAGUGGCAUCAGGAAACCAAAUACCAGUCAUCCUGAGAGCAGUAAGAGUUUCUUCUUGGUUCUUCCUCUUUGGGGAGGCAGAUAAACACAGGGAGUGACAAACAGCUAAUCAACAUCCAUGGCUAUAAAUGCUAAUGUGAAUCUUGACCCUGAGCAAGCUGGUACCCUAUGGAACUUGGUUUCCUAGCUGUAAAAGAGUGCCAGAUGGUCACCUGUCUCACAGCACUGCUGCCAGGAAAAACUAGUGAAAAUGCAAAUAAAAAAUACUAUGUAAGUACUUGAAACCAUUUUUUAAAAAAAUGUAGCAGUAUGGUAUAACCAUAAGUUUUUAAGUUUCUAAGAAAAAUUCAAGGAAAUUUUUUUGAUAAUACAAAAGAAAACCAUCUUGCUUUUCCUAUCCUCCAAAUGCAGGGGCUAUUUGAGUAGUAAGUAAAUUAAAAAAAACAAAACCAAAAACUUGAGCAUUUUCCAAUGUAAAUCAAAAUGGCCUUAGUAAUUAUGCCUGCUCUUCAGCAGUGUGUUCCGCUUGUAAGAUGCUGACAUUUUAUGUGAAUACAAUGUCUUAAGGUGCUAUAAAUAAAUAUCUUAUUAGCUAUAGAUUCAGAAUCCAAUUAGGAACCUUAAACUGAACAACCUGCCCACUGCAGAUAUCCCUGACAGAAAGUCUUGGCUCCAACAUUUUACAGAGGUGGGAGGCACUGCCCAGCCCUGAUUGGUCUCUCAAGGAGUCUUCAGUGCCUCACCUGGGAGUGGUUAUUUAUUACCCUAUCUGCUUGUCAUUGCUGGAGUCCCAGGCAGCAAGAGUUGAUUUACUGAGGAAAAGUGUCUCAUUUGCUGUGGUUUUAACUUCAUUGGUGAUACCACCACACAACUGUCACUACAUGCAAACUCAACUUCCAAUAUUAUGGGGCCCUGUACUACGUAACUUCAUCUCAUUUUCUUUUUAAAGUAAAUGGUCAUGUUCAUGUUCCUAACUCUCCAACCUUGUGGCACCCUGCUCCAAAUCCUGGCAGGCACAAUAGAAAAGAAAACAGAUUUCUAUUUCCCACUGGCAGAAUAACAGAAAUGAUCAUUUAUUGAAUAUAACUAUAUGCCAGGAAAUAAGAUAACCACUAUACAUGCUUGUCUCAUUUAAUUCUUAUAACAACUCUGAGAGGUACAGGGAUAGGAGACAAGGCCUCAGAGGUUUUGGAAGCUUGAAAAGCUCAUCAGAAGACUGAGUGGAGGAGCCAGGAUCUGACUCCAAAUCUAUUAGAUUCCAAGGCCCACUCCCCAUAACACUGAAGCCAAACAACUCAGAAUACACAGGGCCUUUGAUGAACUCUCAUACGCUCCUUGUGGGAAUGUAAAUUGGUAGGAAAUUCCUGGAAGGCAAUUUGGCAGUACCUAUUGAAAUCCAUAGUUUACUAUGCACACUCACUGACCCAGAUAUUCCACUUAUAGGAAUUAAUCCAAAGGAAAUACAGAGAUGUGUACACAUAUUUUGCUACAAAAAUAUAUCACUGCAUUAUCUGCAACAGGAAAAAUCUAGAGAUGGCCCAUAUGACCAAGUGAGGGGAUUGGUUAAAUAAAUCAAGGUACAUUUGUAGGAUUUAAUAUUAGGUAGCUGUUACAAGUCAGGCUGUAGAAUAAUCAUAUCAGCAAACAUUAAUGAGAUACUGUUAAAUAAAAAGCAAAUUAGCAAACAAUAUAUGUAGUGGGAUACCAAGUUUGUAAAAACAUGCAUUUUAAAAAGACUGAAAGGACACAUUAAAAGAAUGUUAUCAAUGAUUAUUUCUGGAUAGUGGUGGUAGAAGGAUUAAUUUUAAUUUUCUUUAUAUUUUUCAGUAUUUCUAUAAUAAACAAGUAUGACUUACGUAAUCAAAAGAAAUAAUAAAUGUUAUAUGUCAAUGCCUGUCAUAUUUUGGGGAAGAUUUAAUCUGCUGACUCAUCCAUUUGGUAGGGCCAUGGCACAAUGGUUUCAAGGUGUGGUUCUCACAUUCUGCUGCACACUAUAAUCACCAGGGAGCUUUUAAAUAUCCUGAUUCCCAGUCUGCACCCCAGACCAAUUAUGCCAGAGACUCCGGGAAGGGACCCAGGCAUUGGUGGUUUUUAAAGCUCCGCAGAUGAUUCCAGUACGUGAGCAAGUUUAAAGAAUGGUGAUUAUGAGGUUCCUGAGGUCACAGGGUCAAAGGUCUCUUAUCUCUGCGUAAAGGAAAAAAAUGCCCCAUUUCCAGACAUAAUAAGGUCUGUACGAUGAGAUUCAAUUUUAAAAGUGGGUGGUUCUACUGAGUUCAUCCAUAACCACUAUAAAACGCAUCAAGUGAGCAUAUUCUACUAAAAAUGCCUAUUAUAAUUCGGAGAGGGCAAACUCUAGGCAAUCCUCACAUUUCCUUUCAUACUCUGAAAGUUUGUCCCUCAGAUCAAGGUUUCUCAACUGUGGAUGGGGGCAUUGGAAGGGUCUCAGAUGGGCUUCAGCAGGCUCUUCAAGCCAUGUGACAGCAGGCAAAUUUUGAGUUUAUGCCUGAGUAUUUUUGUAAAGAUAGUCUAUACCUUUAUUUGAUUCUCCAAGGGAUUUAUGUACCAGAGAUUACAAAGAGCAAAAUGGACUUUUUAAACAUUAGUCUUUAAUGAAUAGGGAAAUGGCCUCAAAGCCUGGCGAAUGAAGAGAGAAGUACAGGAGAAGUUCAUUAGCUCUUGAAGAACUUCCCCUCUUGUUGGAAUAACAGAGCCCUCCUGCGGGAGGUGGGGACUUAUUUUCCCAAUUAAGACCGCCGAAAUUCUCUCUAGGGAGGCAGGGUAGUGGACUGGCAAGUACACUUCAGAGAUGGAAGAUGAAAGUUCUUGCCUCUUCUUUAUUAACUAGCUCGUGACCAUUUAACUUUAUUAGCUACUCAGUGUCCUCAUCUCUAAAACACCAACAGAAAUAUUGGUCCCACUUUCCCCCGGGGUUUACACGAGGUCACGAUCACACGUGUCGUGUGCCACUUAAAAGCACAAAGCAGUCUGAGUUUACUUAUGCCUGCUUUUGUUAGACUAUCUUGACUGACAGGAUUAUUGGUACAUUUGGGCAGGCUGGGUUUUGGAAGCAACUCACUCCACGUCUUGUCAUACCUGAUCGGCCUGGCGGGUCCCUCACUGGAGGUGGGGGUCUCUCACUGGGCGGGGGAGGAAGAGGACCUGAACGUCCUGGCGAAGGUAACGGGGGCGUGGACGAACUGAGGGACAGAUUCCGCUGUGGGAGUCUUGGGGUUUCGUCAUUGCCGCUGGAACUUGGAGGCAGAGGAGGCGGCCCGGGCCUGCUGGGAGGUGGCGGCGGAGGUGGGGCCUGUGAGGAGGCCGAAGGCCGCGGAGUGGAAGGCACUGGAGGCUUGUUGUUCUGAGGAGGAGGAGGGGGAACCGCUUCCCUGUGGAUGGAGGGCCUGUUGCCCACUGGAGGAGGUGGUGGAGGGGGUUUGUCAUCCAAGGCCCUGCUGGGGGUAGGCGGCAGGGGAGGCCGGUUGGAGAAGGGCGAGGAGGAGCUCAAGGGGGACUGACGUAUUGAGCCUCCUCCCAAAGCAGUGCCGCGGUUUCCAGGGAAAGGGGGAGGAGUGGGCCCGGGGCUGGGCUGCCUGGGGCCUCCGGGCACUGGUGGGGACCCCCGGUUGUGCGGACUUGAUUGAAUGGGUCUUGGAGUACUAGGUACUGGAGGAGGAAUGCUAUCAGGCUUUGAGCCCACGUCGGGCCUUGGGGGCGGCAUUCGGUUCCUCUGAGGCUCUGGGGGACCACUUCUGUGGCCUGGAGAAGGCACAGGAAACCUCCCUGGGCCACUUGGGGGUGAAAAGGGUUUCGCAGAUGUGGAUCUUCCUCCCGGUGGCAACAAUGGUGGUCGGCUUCCUCCAGAAUCUGAAGAACAGGAAAACAAACAUCAGUUAGGAAAUCAGGAACCCUGAAGAAAUCAGAGAGCUAGAGUCUGUUCCCAGUGACUGGAAGUCCCUUCCUCAGAGGGCUAUAAAAUACAGGAAACUAUUAUUUAUAUAAAUUGGGUUUUGUUGGUCCUUCUUGGGAGCAGAAAAUCGACCAUAGCUCUAUUUACCUGCGAGUCCCAACUUCUACAGCCUAUGAGCUUUCAAAAGGAUUCUGCAAAUAUCUCUUAGCAUUAUGUAUAGGCAAGAGCCAGGAUGAAGUGGGCGAGAGUUCUGGUGAGAUGCCUAUUCAUUAUGAGAGGACAAGAACAAGAUGGCAUUGGUAGAAUCAUGAUUUUCAUUUUUCCUCAUCACCAUCUCUGUCUCCCAGCCCUUGUACCUCUCAGUUUUGAAACUAAGUCAGCUGUCUUAGGUGAAAAAAUUAAUUAUCCCAAUGUAAAUCUCCAAAUGUGAGGGCUUAUCUAGUCCCUAUGAAGAGAAAUGCCCCAAAAAAAGUGGAAAACUGUAAGGGGAAAUUAUAAGAAAAGAGUUAUGACUGCAAUAAGAAAAAACUAAGAAAGGAAAAAGAACCAUCAGUAAAGUUUAAUUGUAAGAGUUGACACCAGUGGAUGGAAUUCAUCUACAAAGAAGCAGGCAACUACACAACUUUUUUUUGGUACCACGUCAACCUCUGCUUCAGUAUUGGCAGGACAGAAUAAUCCCAUAACUGCUCUGGUUCAACAAGGGAGAAACUAAAGGGGGAACCAAAGAGAUGGAAAAUUUCAAACCACCAUCCCAGAAUCUCUUGGAACUCAAGGUAAUUCUGAAAAAAAAAAAAAAAAUCUACCCAUUUAUGAGUUAAUAAGUGUACCAAAUAAUUUUGAGCACUUGCUAUGCGCCUGCCAUUAAUCUAGAGACUAGAGACAGAGGAGUAAACAGAAUAGAAAAGAUUCUGCAUUCCUGUAGUUUACAUUCUUGUGGGGGGAGAUAAACAAUAAACCAGGAAAUAAAUACUUUCAGAUAAUUAUAUGUACUAAAAAGACACUAAAAUAGGCCGAUGAGAUCAAGAGUGCUUGGAGAGGCCAGGGUACAUGGAGUGGCUGGGGACAGCUCUUCUGAGAAUGUGACAUGUGAGCUGAGGCCUGACAAGAAGGAGUCAGCCACGGAAAGAUGAGGAAGACCAGCACUUUGGGCAGGGUUGGCCAGCAGGUGCAGAGGCCCUGAGGUGGGAAAGAGCUUCAAGUUCAAAAACGGGCCCAUGUGCCCGGGGCACAGUGAGAAUGGGAGAGAUCCAUGGGAAGUGGAGCCUGAGUGGCCAGCAGGGGUUAGUCACAAGGAGCCCUGCAGGACAGAAGGGGUUCCGAUUUUAUCUAAGGCACAGGAAGAAGCAUUUGGACAGAUGUAUACAGUGGAGUAUCAUGAACUUAAGAGAGAACUUUCUUCUUCUUUUUUUUUUUUUUUUUGAGACAGUGCCUCCUCUGUUGCCCAGGCUGGAGUGCAGUGGUGCAAUCACGGCUCAUUGCAGCUUCAACUUCCUGGGCUCAGGCAAUCCUCCCACCUCCGCCUCCUGGGUAGCUGCGACUACAGGCAAGAGCCACCAUGCCCACUAACUUUUUGUUUUUUUUUAGUAGAGACAGGAUUUUGCCAUGUUGCCCAGGCUGUUCUUGAAUUUUUGGGCUUCAGCCAUCUGCCUGCCUUGACCUGUGAAAGUGCUGGAAUUAUAGGUGUGAGCCACCAUGCCUGGCCCAUUUUAUUAUUUUAUUUUUCUUUGUCUUUUGCCUUAAUUUCUUCACCUGUUGUUAAAGUACUAAAUGUAUACAUUUAUCAGCUGCCUUAAAUCCUUUUGGUGAGUUUUAAAUAAAUUUAAAUUCAAAUUUAAAUGGUGGUCUGGCAAGAUAGAACCUCUCAUGUGACUGAGUUUCUCUCUAGAUUUGGACCAUUCAGUGAUAAAAUAGUAGGCUAACCCUGAGGAUUCAGUGAUUCCAUAUUCAUGUAAAUGUGAGAGUUUCAUUCUUUCCCAGGGGACAUCUUAUAAAAGGUCUAAAAAUGAAAAUUAUUAUAACAUGAUCAACAUUACAAAAGCAGUUUUAUGGUAAAAUUUCUUGAGUUUCUGUAGUAGCUGGGAGAGAGCCUCAUGCCCUCUGCAAAGUUUUUUAUCUAGGCAUUCAUGAGCAAGUUCAGUUUUUUUCUACCAUCAGGUUCAUAGACAAUCCUGAAGGACUCAUGUCCAUGGCUCCCUGCAGAGACUCCUGAGAACCACUGGCACUGAAAUACCAAAUAUCUGUCAUGCAAAACACUUUUUCAGAUUUAGUGAGAUUUGUAAUCAUAUUCCACAAGAUGUGCUCCAUCGUGUUUGAAAAGCGGCUCACAAGUAUUUACUCUACUAGACAGCUGGGCUACCUCACAAAGAAAGCUGAAUCUGUCAGGUCACCAGGCAGAUUUCCAGGGCCAGCAAGUUCUAUUUGCUCCUCCCUUUUCUUCCCACUCCAGCUAACCCUUUAGAAAAGUAAAAAAAAAAAAAUGUACAGGUUACCCCCAAAGACACUGGGUGAAAAUUUCAUAGUUCUGUGUAGCUGUCUGAUCCUGGUUAAUAAUAAUAAUAAAGCCUAAAUUGAGUCUCUUAUAAAACAGUGGUAAUAUUUAAAACAAUGUACAAUAUUUUAAUAAGGGCGAAGAGCCUUAGAGGCUAUGACCAGCCUCCAAACUGCCAAACUCUGCCUUGUCUUCAGUCACUCAGAGACAGGGAAACUCUCCUUACCAUUAUCCCUGUUGGCCGUGGAUCUCAGCUUCGGCAUUCCAGCCUGGAACAAUCCUCCCAGACCUGGAGGUCCGCCCCCUCCAAAACUUCCACCGCCUCCGCCACCACCUCCUCCGCCAAAUCCGCCGCCUCCACCAAAGCCACCACCACCGCCUCCAGCACCAGCUCCUUUAGGUUCUGUAGAAGAAGAGACACCCGACAGACUAUGCCCCCUGGUCUGGCCCAGGUAAACCAUAAAACAACAGUACAACAGGGAGCUGGCCGGCUCUCGGCCUCCAGUGGACAACUGGGAUUUCUUCAUUAAAAUGCAGGAUUUUAAGAGUUCCCUCAGCUCAGUCAGAACUGCCCGCUCCAGGCAGUCCCAAGCCCAGUGGUGGAAGAAACGAAAAUAAAGGAUGAUUUGUCCCCACACUCCCCACUUGACUGGCUGCCACAUGGGUCAGUAUCUGUUUGUUCCGUAUCCUAAGAUUUGGCAAAUAGAAGGAUCUUCAGGCUGGGUGCAGUGGCUCACACAUGUAAUCUCAGCACUUUGGGAGGCUGAGGUGGGAGGAUCGCUUGAGCCAGGGAGGUCAAGACUGCAGGGAGCCAAGACUGUGCCACUGCACUCCAGCCUGGGUGACAGUGAGACCCUGUCUCAGUAAAAAGGAUCUUCAAAGAAAGAGGGUCGCAAGGGAGGAGGAGAUGCCAUAAAAGGCGAGAAGAAAGGAAAGAGUUAAAAAGAAAAGAAAAUAAAAUAUCUCAUAAUUUCACAAAUAUACAAAUAUCCAGGCUAGGCACAGUGGCUCACACCUAUAAUACCAGCACUUUGGGAGGCUGAGACUGGAGGAUAGCUUAGGCCCCAGAAGUUUGAGACCACCCUGGGCAACAAAGUGAGACCUCGUCUCUACGAAAAUAAACAACAACAACAAAAUGUAGCCAGGCAUGGUGGUGCACACCUGUAGUCCCAGCUACUUAAGAGGCUGAGUGAGAGGAUCACUUGAACCCACUGAGGCUGCAGUGAGCUAUGAUUGCACCACUGCACUCCAGCAAAAAAAAAAAAAAAAAAACACUAAGCAAAUAUCCACAAUUGAGUUAUACUUUUUCCCAUCAGUAUUUUUCAUUUUAUGUGUUUUUUCUUAAAAUUAAGAACAAAUUCACUAAGCAGUAUUAAGCCUGCUUUUUUCAUUUAACACUUUGUUAGCACUUCUUGUGUCAUACUCUUUGAAAACAUGAGUUUAAAGGAUUCUAUUGUAUUGUAGAACAUGAAUGUAUUACAUUAAAAUUUAUUUAACUACUCAUUUGAUGGCCCUUUAGAUUGCUAUUAAUUUUUUAAUAUCAUGAAGCCCAAUAGUAGGCUUUAGUAAUUUAAACAUUCUUUGCAAUUUGAGAGGGUAUAAAGAUCUUGUUUUAUUUUGAAUUUAUCUGCAAAAAAUUGUGAAAGAUUUUGAUGGGAGGCAAACAAACAAACAAACAAAAAGAUUACUGAGUAUUCUGUCUAGUCUUCUGGGUUACUUUCCAUUGUCUUUGAGCCACAGUAUCUUAUCACUCUGAAAGGCAUAGAAAACUGAUACUAAUGCAAUGGUAUUUGUCCAAAGAAGUGCAAAUUAGUUGUGUUUAAGCCAUGCUUAUACCCUCUUUAAAAAAAUUAUCUCUUAAUUUAUGUAUGUAUGCAUGUUUGUAUUUAUGAGCUUAAACAUUAUUUAAAGUCCUCUUCCCAAAAAACUAUGUUGAGUUUUUGAUAAAUAGUAUAUGAAAUCUACAAAUUAAUCUGGGAGAACUGAUACUUUUAUGAUAUUUAGACUUUCCAUUUGGAGAUGUGGUAUAUUUUCCCAUUUAUUUAUGUCUUCUGGAUUUUUUGGCAAAGUUUUUUAGUUUUUAUGAUAUACAUUACACAUGCUUUUUGUUAGGGUUACUUCAAAUGUAUUUUUGUUUGCUGAAAUUGUGAAAGGGAUGUUUUUCCUGUUAUAUUUUGUAAUUGGUUAUUUUUGGCACCAGGAAAUUGUAUUUAAUAUCUAAUAAGCCACUUUGCUAUGUUUUCUAAAUAAAAUUUACUAAAAAUGUAUUAUCUUGCAUUUUCUAGUAUGCACAUGGUCUUCAAAUAAUGACAGUUUAAAGCCUCCUCUUCUCUAAGAGUUGUAUGUCUUAUUUCUGUUUUAUAUAAGUAAUUACUUUGAUGGGUAAAUUUCCAUAACAAUGUAAAUUAUUAACGUUUCUAAAGGCAAUCAUGUUCUGAUAUUAAUGAGAAUCCCUCUGAUAUUUCAAAGUUAAUAUGAAUUAUUGGUUUGAAAUAGGUUUUUUCCCUUUCUAAAUAUUCAGUCUGUGGAUCCUUCUAUUUUAGGUUUACAAGAAUUUAUUAUAGCAUGAAAUUUUAUCAAAUGCCUAUUCAAGAUCUACUGAGGCUUUUUGAUGGUCUUUUUUAUUUGAUAUGAUGGAUAGACUUUCUAACAUUAAAAAUGGGAUAGGCCAGGUGCAACGGCUCACACCUGUAAUCCCAACACUUUGGGAGGCCAAGGCGGGUGGAUUGCUUGAGCUCAGGAGUUCAGGACCAGUCUGAGCAAUAUGGUGAGAUUCCCAUCUCUACAAAAAAUGAGCCAAAUGUGGUGGUGCAUGCCUGUAGUCCCAGCUAGUUGGGAGGCUGAGGUGGGAGGAUCCCUUGAGCUUGGGAGGUCAAGGAUGCAGUGAGCUGUGUUCAUACCAUUACUCCAGCCUGGGUGACAAGACAAGACCCUGUCUCCAAAAAAAAAAAAGGGGGAUAAACCCUGGUGUUGGUGAAUUAUUCUUGUAACAUCUGAUUGAUUUAGAUUUGUUUUUUGGUAUUUUAGUGUUCUCUUAUCUAUGAUGAUAAGUGGUCCAUAAUAGGGUUUCUUAAUUAUAAACAUUUUGGGACAGAUAAUUCUUUUUUGUGGGUGGCUGUCCUGUCCUGUUCUUUACAGAAUGUUUACAGCAUCCCUGGCCUCUACCCACUAGAUGUCAGUAGCAGCCCUCCCUGUCCCCCAAAGUAGUGACUAAAAAUGUCUUCAGACAUUGCCACAUAUCCCCUGGAAUGCAAAAAUCACCCUCAGUUGAAAACCACUAAUGUACAGCUUUCUUUUUUUAUGUGCUGCCUUUGUCAAGUUUUGACAUUAGGAUCAUGCCAAUUUCAUUACAAUUAUUAGACAGCCUUCCAUCUCUUAAUAUAUUGGGGAAUGACUUAUACAGCAUUUGAAUUAGCUGUUUCUUAAAAUUUGAAAGAAUUUGCUAAUAAAAUAAUCUGGCUCCAAAACUUUUUGGAGAGAAAGUAAUUUAAUAAAGUUUUUAUCUUUUCCCUUGCUCAUUGAGGUUUCCUGAAUAAAUAUAUGCUUUUCUUAGAAAAGUACUUUCUUUAAUAUCUUAAAACAUUUUAGCAGAUAACUUUAUUACACUACUUUAAUUUUAGAAAAUAUGCUUUGAAUCUCUUAUUUUAUCUGCUUUCUGAGUUCCACUUUUAUUCAUUUUUAUUUCCAUUUUCUGGAUUAGGUUUAUCAUAAAUUUGUGUUAGUUCUGUAUCUUUUCUAGAUGUGGAGCUUUCUGAGAUGCUUAUGGUAGCUCUGCUGUGGAAGAAAUAAUCUGAUAAUAACUGACAAGAAUUACUUCACCUAACAGGAUAAAUCAUAUAAGACUAACAAUUUCUAGAAGUGUAUGCAAAAUUGUUUCCAUAUAAAAUUUAAAAAUUUUGCUAUUAACAUCGCCCUUGUCAUUCAAACACUAUUCAUUGAUGAAUGACACAUUUUGGAAUACUGCACUUCACAGGACACGUUUACAUGGUACUGAAACUUUAGAGGGACUCCUGCACUAUCAGACAUCACCCAUUACUGUUCUUUUUUUUGUUUUUUUGAGAUGGAGUUUCACGCUUGUUGCCCAGGCUGGAGUACAAUGGCACGAUCUUGGCUCACUGCAACCUCUGCCUCCUGGGUUCAAGCGAUUCUCCUGCCUCAGCCUUCCAAAUAGCUGGGAUUACAGGCAUGCGCCACCACACCCGGCUAAUUUUGUAUUUUUAAUAGAGAUGGGGUUUCUCCAUGCCUCAGGUGAUCCCAGCCUCAGGUGAUCGACUUGCCUCAGCCUCCCAAAGUGCUGGGAUUACAGGUGUGAGCCACUGUGCCUGGCCCAUUAGUGUUCUUAACCUGCAACAUCUGUCCAUCUUUCAGAAAGAGAAGCUAAAGCUGAGGAUUAAGCUUUCAGAUUAUUUUUUCAGUAAUUAAACUGUAGGACAGGGCUGAGUUAUCACACAUAACCAUGGUCAACAUUUUGACAUACAGCCCAGGGAAGUUUCACAUGCAAACAGAUACAAAACUGUGGAUAAACACUGCUGCUUGCAAAGAGCUUGUGACAGCAGUAUAGGUGUCCAGUUGAGUGUGUGGACAAGGGCCUGCACUGGACUGUAUCUUCCUUCCAUCAAGGAAAGCACAUUAUUAAACAUCAUGGAAGAGAGAAGGACUAACACUAUUUCCAUUAAAUAAGAGAAGUGGACAUUGAAGAAUACAAUUCUUCAAGGUUUCCACUAGUGGAUUCAGGAAUAGGUCUAGACUGUCCAGCCUCCUUCAACAGAGCCCUAGGCUCCCUCUUGCAGUGAGGAGAACCACAGGCCUCUGUCCUAGAGGUCAGCUCCUCUGGCCUCAUACCAGGGACCAUGAUUCAGAUGGCUAUUGGAGGGCUUGGAGGGCUGAGGGAUUAGAGGGAAUAUAUUAUAACCACAUUCGUUUUGUGGGCAUUUUGACUUACAAGUCAGACUGUGUCAAGAGUUAAAUACCUUAGUUCCUUUUUUUUUUUUGAGACAGAGUCUUGCUCUGUUGCCCAGGCUGGAGUGCAGUGGCACAAUCUCAGCUCACCGUAACUUCCACCUCCUUGGUUCAAGUGAUUCUUGUGCCUCAGCCUCCCGAGUAGCUGGGACUACAGGCAUGUGCCACCACACCUGGCUAAUUUUUGUAUUUUUAGUAGAGAUGGGGUUUUACAAUGUUGUCAAGGCUGGUCUUGAACUCCUGGCCUCAAGUGAUCCACCCGCCUCAGCCUCUAAAAGUGCUGGAAUUACAGGUGCGAGCCACUGCGCCCGGCCAUAGUUCCUUUUUGAAAGCAGUGCAUUCUCACUCGCAGCACUUUGCCCGGUAACAGAACAACAUUCAAAGGCCUUAUCUAGGUCUUUCACUUUUCCUUUUUCCUCCCAAACCAGUAGUCCACCUAACUCUGAUCCUUCUUCUUCCUUCUCUACUCAUUAGGUAUUUCUCCCAGAAAGUUCCCUGAAGCACUUCUAAUCCUUUACUUUGCAAAGAUUCUGCCUCAUUAUUCACUUGUUGACAAAGAUCCAUCUGGUGAUUUUGGAAGGUCAGUCUAUUUCCUGUUCCGUCCAAAUGGGAUCUGUAGUCUAGGAUGAAUCUUGGGGACAUCUGGCAGGCAAAGGAAGGGUCUAGGAAUGUGAGGAGACAGGCUUAAGAUCUACUUAUUAAUUGCCAGUAGAAUUCUAGUCAUGGAUUAUUUUUUGUCCUGUUGUAAAUGUUAAUAAGUAGCUUUGUUCCAGAAAGUACCUCAGACUUAGGUGGGUUGAUAACUGAAGUUGUGACCUCAUUUUCUUUCUCUCUAAGCUCCUAAUAAUUGUAUCUUACACUUGAAUUACACUUUCCAGACAACAAAACAUUUUACAGGCAUUAUCUCAUUUGAAGCUCAUGACAAACUUGUGAGGUCAAUAGAACAUGUAUUAUCAUCUCCAUUUUAAAAUGAAGAAAACAAGGCUUGGAGAUGGUACAGGAUGGAUGUGCCAGGUCUUGAACCCACAGCUUUUGAUUCCAAGGCUAGGGCUCUUUCCAUAUUUUAUGCUGCCUCCUCAUCUGUGGUGCCAGGAGCAAUGGGUUAAUCUCCAGAAAGUGUUGUGAAUAAUGCAGAGAAUUGCUGCUGUGUAUGUCUUGGACAAAGAAUUAUUAUACUGGCUUCUUGCAGCAUUAGAGGGGAACCCAAGCCAAAGCUGCGGCCUACAGGGAGUGAUACAGUCCCUUAUUUUGCUAGCUUUGCAGCUGUUGUUAACCAAAAAAUAAAAUAAAAUAAAAAUUGAGUGGUGAGGGUAGGGUUGAUUAUUAGGCCAUAAACUGUUCCUCUCCAUGGUAGAUAGCCUUUUUUUACUUACUGUCCAGUAUUGGUGCACUUCUGUCAUUGGUGACCGUCUUCUUUAGUUUCUUCCCUUUGCUGAUAUCAGAAAGGAGAGCAUUUCUCCCAGCCUGCUCUGUCUUAUUCAAGGUAGGCUUCUCUGUAUUGGCCUGAAAGGGAGCCAUACAAACAAGUAGUCAUCUCUUGGGUUAAAAUCAUGCAUUGUAACACUCGGCUGGGAAAGGUUGGGUACGGGAAGCUUGUUGUUAAGGUUCUUGGUGAUAGGUUGUAAAUUCUCGACAAGUUUUAGACCCCAUAUCUUUCUUUUUAAGAUCCAGACGUUUGGAAGCAGAUGCAGCAAUAAAUUAUGUUCAUUUUUAAGGGAGGAAGAGUCAGUCCUUGAUUAAAGUCUCUGAAAAUUCAGACCACAAUCUGACUGAAACUAACAGGGCCAGGUUAGGGUGAGAUGACUAGACACGAGAAAAGAAUUUUAAGUCUGGGAGGAUUCUGCAGGACAUUACCAGACGUCAUUCACUAGAGGGUACCCUGAAGAAUAACUUCCUUUUCCCAUCUUUUAGAACUACCCCAGUGCAAGGGAAAAACUGUCUCUAGCAAAAAGAGUCAGCUGUAUGUUUUUUAAACCCACUAAAGUUCUAGAAAAUAAUUCCCUCUGUGUAUAUUGCCAAAGAUGCUUUUUUUCUCUUUUUAAGUCAGAUUUAUUAAGGUGUAAUUUACACAUAGUGAAAUCACCCUUUUUAGUUACAGCUCUAUGAGUUUUGACAAACAUAUACAGUUGUGAAACCACCGUCACAAUCAAGAUAUAGAAUAUUUUCAUUACUUCAAAAGUUCCCUCAUGUCCUGUUGGCAUGAGGUGUUUCUGAUGUUUAAUUCUGAUGAAAGCUUAGCUCAUGGAAAUUGUGGAAUGGACAAAAAUGCUGCUUUAACAUGUCUGAUUAUUUUCUUAUAUUUCCAGAAUUCCUAGGAAAGAUCCCUACCUACUAUGAAAUUGGGAUCUUGUUCCUUCAGGGAGUUGGGGACACUAAGAGACCAGCAAAUGGACUUAGAUGUAGGCACCUGCCUGUGUGCCUGUGUCUAUCACACUUGGAAACUGGCUAGGUCUUGUCUGUCUCAGGGAGAGUCUGGCUGCCCCAAACCCACAGGUCCUUUCUAGGCUGGCCCCAGCCCUUCUGACAGGGAUAUGAUUUCAGAUUUGCCAGUUAGGGCCACAGGAGGAAAAGCUGGGGAAAUGUAUGGCUCAAUACCUUACCCAGCCUUUAAAAAACAAUUUUUUUUUAGAGACAGAGUCUCAUUAUGUUGCCUAGGCUGGAGUGCUGUGGCUAUUCACAGGUGUGAUCAUCAUGCAAUACAGCCUCGAACUCUUGGGCUCAAGUGAUCCUCCUGCCUCAGCCUCCUGAGUAGUUGGGAUUACAGGCACGAGCUACUGCUCCUGGCCUAACUCAGCCUUUUAUUAGCAGAGUUAGAGGCAAAGGAAGAACUCAGAAAAACCCUGAAGUAGGCUAACCAGAAUUGCAGUGGUAAAGUUGGAAGCAUCUUGAAAUAACUAAAUGAUGAAGUAUUACUUGCUUAUGAUAAUAAUAGUUAACAUAUACUCUGUGCCAGGCACUGUUUUCAGCACCUUAUGUGUAUUACUUCAUUUAGCCCUUAUCAACCCUGUGAGUUAUUAUUUCCAUUUUACAGACAAGGAAACUGAGGUAUAGGGAGUUUAAAUCAUUUGCCCCAGGCACCUAGUUAGUUGAGGAGGAGCUGGGAUUCAAACCCUGGCAGUCAAGAGCCUUCCCUACAAGCUGAUAGAAGGAUAAAUGUGGGCUCUAAAAUGCCCCUCCCCAUCCAGCCCCAACACACCGCUGAAGCAUGCUUGUUAAAAGUUUCUCUGCUGUCCUUCCAGAAAUGCUCUCUGCAUACACAGUUUGCUUUUGCUAAUGGGAUUCUCCUCUAUUGUUCUGCAACUUGUUUGUUUUCAACUUAACAUACUUUGGAUGUCCUGGAAAAGAGCUCUUAACAUUACCUGCUGUCUUCAUUUUAAGGAUGAAAAAACUCUGAGGCCUAGAGAGGUUAAGUGAUGUGUCACACUGGAUCUCUUAACAGUUUUGGGUCAGCAACCUUCAGUAGCCUCCUGUUCUGCCUCAAAAUUUAUUUUGACAGCUGACCUCCCUGGGUGCUAACUUCUCUCAUGUUCAGGGCCCUUAAUUAUGUUGUUUCACAAGGGCAGUGUUCUAUGAUGGCCACCAACCCACCUUUUCCCUUUCUUCAUCUCUAUAUUCUAUUUAUCCAAAAUCUUGCUUUGAAUUAGGUAACAACGGAUAGAAAUGAGUUGAUAAGAUAAGCAAGGUUUCCCAAACUUCAAGCAUUCUGGUAUAAGAUUCAUGAUUUUUGUCAUCUUCUCAUACCACCUGUGUUAUUUAUUUAAUAUUUUUUAUUAAGUCAGUUCACUAUAGCCCACACUUUUGGGGAAACAUGGAUAAAUGAAUCCUGCUAUGUAAGCCAGAUUGGAGGUUCUCAAACUUACCCAUGUGAAGGACCAACUUUUUUUUUGUUUUUUGUUUUUUUGCGACAGAGUCUUGCUCUAUCACCCAGGCUGGAGUGCAGUAGUGCAAUCACAGCUCACUGCAGCCUUGACCUCCUGGGCUCAAACAAUCCUCCCAUCUCUGCCUCCAGAGUAGCUGGGACUAUAAGCACGCACCGCCAUGUCUGGCUGGCUAAUUUUUAACAUUUUUUUUGUAGAUAUGGGGGUCUCGCCAUGUUGCCCAGGCUGGUCUCGAACUCCUGGGCUCAAGUUAUCCUUCCAAAGUGCACGCCUGGCCAAGGACCAGUCUUUUGAAAAAUAUUUUCAUCAGGAACUGACGCUUUUGUAAAAUAACAAUGAAUUAUUAGAAAAAUGAAUUAGUUUUUUAAAAAAGACACACAACAUCCAAUCUUAGAAACAGAAAACUACUGUCAAAUUGCUAGAAAUGCUUCUAAAUGCUUACUUUCAACUUUUGUCCUCAUCACUUUGGGGACUCUUAAAAAGCAGUUGGAAGGCCACACUCUGAGUAACAAUAAGCUAAUUAAUAGGCAGUUCUUCUCACUAGGUUUCAACCUCAGAUGAGUUAUAUAAAUGUGUCUCAUGGAAACCUGGGGCAAGAAACUUUCUCUCCAAGCCUCAGUUUCCCCAUGUGAAAAUGGUGAAAAUGAAGGAACCAUCAGUGUGAGGCUCCUCCUCAGUGAAGGCUUCACAAGCUGGAGAGGGCUUUGUAACAGAGCGUAUCUUGGGGCCUUUCCAUAUGACCAAGUGGAGAGUUGCCAAAUUCCUGAAGAGGGCACACUAACUUCCCCAAAGAGGUCUAUCAAAGGAGCAGGAUGAGCCGGGCACAGUGGCUCACGCCUGUAAUCCCAGCACUUUGGGAGGCCGAGGUGGGUGGAUCAACUGAGGUUAGGAGUUCAAGACAAGCCUGGCCAACAUGGUGAAACCCCGUCCAUACUAAAAAUACAAAAAUUAGCUGGGCAUGGUGGUGCUUGCCUUUAGUCCCAGCUACUUGGGAGGCUGAGGCAGGAGAAUCACUUGAACGGGAGGUGGAAGUUGCGGUGAGCUGAGAUCGUGCCAUUGCACUCCAGCCUGGGUGACAGAGCGAGACUCAAAAAAAAAAAAAAGACCAGGAUGAAUCCACUGAAGAAAUUCUUUCAGGAAAUAAACAUCUAAAUGCCUAAAUGCAAGUAUAGAUUUAAAGGAGGAUGUGAAUGUGUAUGGCAGAGGUGGUGGAGGGAGAUAUUUGUCAAAAACAGAUUGGGAAGAAGAGGGGAAAAGGCAGAAAAAAAGAAAGGAGUGAGACCGGAAGACACUUUAAUGGAAUGCACUGCAGGCAGAGACCUGGGUUUCUAGACCGUCCAGCCCAGAAGUUAAAGGCCAGACAUUGAGUUCAUCUGAAUGAAAACAGUGCACACUGGUCUCAGAACUGAUCCUGCAAACCCUAUCUUGGGCCAGCACAUGUCCCUGCGCAGAUGCGGCAGAAAACACCUCAUCAGCCACAUUCCACCCUUGUACUAUCCAUCACACGAGACCUUAAACAAACAAAACCCUUCGUGUUGUUUGUAUUUGCUGGGUUUCAGGAUUUGGCUUACCCUGGGCACUGGGAAAGCCUGUUGUAUCACAUGUGAGCCAGAAUGCAAACACAUUUAAUACAAACACAUGCACGCCAGGUUUUGGCUUCAUUUGGCUUGCUUUAUGCAUAGAAAGUGUUUGGGGAGGAGACACUCACCAGUGCAAACGUCGGGGGCGGCGGGGGUGCUGGAGGGGGAGGGACAGGCAUCUUGGGCAGUUAUGCGUUCAACAGUCUUGCUGAUAAAUCUGGAAAAACAAGAAUGCGAUCAUGUAUUAGAUGUAAUCUUAGUAAUACUGUCCUAAUCUGUCUUCACUUUCCCACCAAAGUGACAGCUCCACCUAGCUCAACUCUUAGAAGAGAUGGGCUUACCUUUACACCUCACUGCUAAAACAUUACUGUUCUGGAAGGAUCCCGGCAGAGGGGCUUCUGACCCGAGGUGCUUGGAGAGAAUGGAGGCCACAUCCAGUGCCUUACUCGGCUCCAUUCCCCCACCCACUACAGUAGGCCAUGACCGACCCAGGUGGGCCCAGUUAAGCAGGAAGGUCUCACACAACUGCUAGGAUGUAUCCUGGCCAAGUUUCACUGAAAACAAAUUCACUUCAAGUGGCUUCUCCUCUUCGCUAAUUUCCAUGACAAUCCUUUCAUGCUCUCCCACCCCCUCUGGCUUUCUCCUCCCAUUCUUCCUGACAUUCGCCAAGUCUGUGUGUGCACUGCAGGAAUAUGAAAAUGAAUCUACUUCUAGUCCCGCCCUCAAAGUUCCUAGUCCUCCAGGGAGAGGGCAUGGAGAAUGUCAGGUGGAAAGCAGGGAGCAGCAGCUGAGGCGGGGUGGACGUGUGGGGGGUCAACCUUAUGUUUGGAGCACUCAAAGACCAGCCAUCCCUAUCUCUGUGCUCCUUAGCAUUUCCUCAGAGGAUCUAAGCGAAAACAGAGCGGGCAUGAGAAGUCAGACCUAGGACUCCCAGGCUGUUUACCAGAAAUGCAUUUCAUUUAGAAGAGCCUGUCUUAGCUUUGUUUGGGUAAAAAAUUAUAUAUAAAUAAAAUAAAAAAGAAGAGCCUUUCUGCAGAGUGUGCUUGCUCUGAAAACAAAGGGAAGACCAGAUUCCGUAGCUGGGUAGGAAAGUUUAGGGACCCCAGGUGGGUGAGGGGGCAGGGCGGAGAGGGCAGCCUGGCAAACACCAGGGCCAGGAGAGACGAUGGCCAGGAAGUGCCUGGUGAGUUACACCAGCCAGGAGCCCUCUCCCCAUUUCCUCUAAUCCUUGCAGUCCUGUUCCUUCGCCUCACUAGAACCCCUGCUCCCUCUGCCCUGUCUAGGACAACGCCUCACCCACUGUUCUCAUCCCUAAGCAAUGCCAGCUUCUCCCACCCCAUCCUUGCUACACAAACUGUGGUCCUGGAUAGGCAGCGUGGGCACCACCCAGAAGCUGUUAGAAAUGUCAACUCCCAGUCCCUUUUGCCCCCAGCUGAAUUCGUUUCAGCAUUUUAACAAGAUCCCUGGGUGAUUCAUACGCACUAAAGCCCUAUGUAGAGAUCGAGCCUUAAGCCAGCGGGCAGUCUGGGUCACUGGCCACCUGAAUAACAUUAUUUCUACAGGACAUGUGUCCCAAAUUUUAAACUGCAGAAUUAUAUUUCUUUAAAAAAUUUUUUUAAAUUUUUUUUUGGAGAUGAGGUCUUGCUCUGUCACACAGGCUGGAAUGCAGUGGCAUAAUCAUAGCUUACUGUUGCCUCAAAUUCCUGGGCCUAAGCAAUCCUCCUGCCUCACUCCUGAGUAGCUUAGCUAGGACUGCAGGCAUAUGCCACCACGCCUGGCUAAUUUAUUUUUAUCUUUUAUUUUUGUUGUGAUGGGUCUUGCUAUGUUGCCCAGGCUAGUUUUGAACUCCUGGCCUCAUGCGAUCCUCCUGCCUUAGCCUCCCAUAGUGCUGGGAUUACAGGUGUGAGCCACUGUGUCAGGCUUUUUAAACUCCCAAUAGUCCCUUAAUUGCAAAAAACAAUUUCUUAGAAUUUAAAAUAUUCAUUUAGUUCAACCACUACAAGUUAAUGUGGAAAACUGAAACCUAAACAAAUACUUUCUAUUGAGAUAAUGCUAAAUGGCUUGCUUUCUGUGAACAGAAAUGGACUGGAGAAGCUAAAAAAGACACUGCUGGACUUGUCACAGCCGCCGGGAAACAAGAAUUAAGACAGUUCGGAAGAGUCCCAUUCAAAGUGGGCGGUCUAGAAAAUGAAAAUUUUAAAUUCCACAGCAGCAACAGCAGCUCUCAUGUAUGGAGAAUCUGCUGGAUCCAGGGCUCUAUCCUUGCGUGGUCUCUGACUCCUAAGACAGCGGAAGCCAGCAUCGCUAAAUUAAAUCACUCCCUAAAACACCCUGAAGCAAUUCAUUCAGUCAUGUCCUUUUGCUUCCUGCUCUUCUGCUGGAUAACACUGCCUCACUCACUCACUGCCCUUUUAAUGGUCUGAUAAACACUUUCAGGCAGGCGAAUUAGUGCCACAGCUCACCUGUUAACUAGGCUGGAAUCUGUUUUCAGUAAGAGACUGUCUCAGGCAAGGAUUCUUUUAAAGUCUGUUUCUUAAAUUGCUCUUUCUGGCAUGACAUCAAUUAGUCACCCAUAGGGCCACAUGGGCAUUGUGAGCAGGACUGGGUGCCUGUGUUAGGGGGUCCUCCAUCAAGGGGCAUCUCCAGCGGCACAUUCAGAGGCCUUGGAGUCAGACGUCUCCUAGGACCAGCAGGAACGAAAGGGAUCUGAUUCAGGCCUGACUACUGCGAAAGAUGCUGGAGCCAAAUCAAUGGUAUGAUCAGAGUUGGGAAAGGCUUACCAAGGAAGGGGGAUAGCCUGGUCUGCCCGGUGGGCCCAAGAGAUGGGCUGUGGGAACAGUGCAUCCACGUGCUUGGUUGAUGAAAAAUCCCUCAAGACUAUUUUGUCUGACUCCACGUUCACCGAUUAACUUUCUGUCAUUCUGUGAUCCUAAUAUCUAGGAAAGGGUGGAUAUUCUGGUCAACUAACAGGAACCUCUUAUGGGUAUGGUUGUCAUGAGUUCGGCUCUCGUAACAGAGAUCAAAUUGAACUUCUGUCCUGCACAGCUUAGGGGGCAGACUGUGGAAUGGGGACCCUUUCAGGGGCUGCCACCCUGAAAGGCCUCCUUAAUUAUUUUACAAUUCUCUGUUGCUGCUGUUUUAGUACUGUCUGUGCACUAACUGACUUGUAUAUUAACUUCUGGAUGACAGCUCCAGGGAGGGCGUGUUAACUUCAUGGUCCAGAGGGCUAGUGUGGGAGAAAUGGCAACAGUCAUGGCUGGGGCCAGAGCCAAGGCCAGAUUGCAGAAAUUAGCAGGCAAAAACAAGGUUCAGGGAGCAAGAUGCUAUUAAAGGGUCUGAGGUAUUGAAAGAAGUGCUGCCUUUCCUUCCUGGCCACUUCAGAUGGACAGUGGGGAGAGGGUCUACGGGUGAGGGCUCUCACUUUUUAGAGGGUGAUGCAGAACUAAGUGCUCUUUCCUCUCUUCCUCUGCGAACUUGUUUGCAUGGCUUGCUUUCCCUGGCCCCAUCCCAGACUCCAAUACUGCCACCUCACUCAGCCCCUGGAUCAAAGACCAAGCUCGUGUGCCCCAACACUGGGCCCACCGGCCACACCAGGCCCACUUCUUGGCUGUCUUUCCACCAGCCUAUGGACUCCAUGGGGUCUUGCCAAUACCUGGCACAAAGUAGGGUUCUUACUAAAUAUAUAUGCAGUGAAAGAACUGUGUAUCACACAAACAAGCCGAGUGCUUGCCACUUGAAGGGCUCCCAGCAUCACCCCACCGCACUGUGAGAUCUGGGCAAAAGAAUCAGCCCUAUUUCAGAGGGGCUUGCUAGUGUUGCAGACUGGAACUUACUUUCCUGGCAGCCUCCAACUUCCCCAGAGAAGUAGAGCCCCAAGGCCCUGGGAGAGGAGGGCUUCCCUCCUCUCAUGGACUUGACAGCCCACAUCAGAGCCACAGCCAGAUCUUACUGAAGGCCUUGGCCCUAGAGCACGGAUCCUAACAGACCAGGCAUUCCUGCCUGGAUCCUCACACCCAGAGUCUGUGGAUAGAAUUCAAGGGUUCAUGAACUUGUAUGAAAAAAAAGUACAUAUUAUUUCUACUAAGCACUAACUGAAAUGUAGCAUUUCCUUUGAUUAUGAAUGCAGGCCACAAACCAUAAUAUCUGAUAUUCUUUCACCCAUAGUUUUCACGUGAUAUUUCACAUCAUAUUACAACUACACACCAACAAUUUUCAACAUGCUGGCAACGUUUAGAUCCAUUGCUAGAUCUUGUUGUUUAAACCAUUAAUAAAGAAGUACAUAUUUUAAUAAAUUAGUUUCCUUUGUAAUUCUCUGUAUUUUAUUUUAUGCAUUUAAACGUAGACACAAAAGGGUCCCUUUGGGACUGGGAGUGGUGACUUAUGCCUAUAAUCCCAACACUUUGGGUGGUCAAGGUGGGAGGACUGCUUGAGCCCAGGAGUUUAAGACUAGCUUGGGCUACAAAGUGAGCCCUUUAUCUCU